UACGGAGGGAGCUAGCGUUGUUCGGAAUUACUGGGCGUAAAGCGCACGUAGGCGGCUUUGUAAGUUAGAGGUGAAAGCCCGGGGCUCAACCCCGGAAUUGCCUUUAAGACUGCAUCGCUUGAAUCCAGGAGAGGUGAGUGGAAUUCCGAGUGUAGAGGUGAAAUUCGUAGAUAUUCGGAAGAACACCAGUGGCGAAGGCGACUCACUGGACAUGUAUUGACGCUGAGGUGCGAAAGCGUGGGGAGCAAACAGG
rnacentral:rRNA from 1 species